GAUGAACGCUGGCGGCGUGCCUAAUACAUGCAAGUCGAGCGAAUGGAUUAAGAGCUUGCUCUUAUGAAGUUAGCGGCGGACGGGUGAGUAACACGUGGGUAACCUGCCCAUAAGACUGGGAUAACUCCGGGAAACCGGGGCUAAUACCGGAUAACAUUUUGAACCGCAUGGUUCGAAAUUGAAAGGCAGCUUCGGCUGUCACUUAUGGAUGGACCCGGGUCGCAUUAGCUAGUUGGUGAGGUAACGGCUCACCAAGGCAACGAUGCGUAGCCGACCUGAGAGGGUGAUCGGCCACACUGGGACUGAGACACGGCCCAGACUCCUACGGGAGGCGGCAGUAGGGAAUCUUCCGCAAUGGACGAAAGUCUGACGGAGCAACGCCGCGUGAGUGAUGAAGGCUUUCGGGUCGUAAAACUCUGUUGUUAGGGAAGAACAAGUGCUAGUUGAAUAAGCUGGCACCUUGACGGUACCUAACCAGAAAGCCACGGCUAACUACGUGCCAGCCGCCGCGGUAA
rnacentral:rRNA from 1 species